GAUGAACGCUAGCGACAGGCCUAACACAUGCAAGUCGAGGGGCAGCAUGAAAGUAGCUUGCUACUUUUGAUGGCGACCGGCGCACGGGUGCGUAACAGGUGUGCAAUCUGUCCAUAAUCGGGGAAUAGCCCAGCGAAAGUUGGAUUAAUGCUCCAUGUGAGCCGAGGAGGCAUCUCUUUGGUUUGAAACGUAAGGAUUAUGGGUGAGCACGCUUCUGAUUAGGUAGUUGGUGAGGUAACGGCUCACCAAGCCGACGAUCAGUAGGGGUUCUGAGAGGAAGGUCCCCCACAUUGGAACUGAGACACGGUCCAAACUCCUACGGGAGGCAGCAGUGAGGAAUAUUGGUCAAUGGACGCAAGUCUGAACCAGCCAAGUCGCGUGAAGGAUGAAGGUUCUAUGGAUUGUAAACUUCUUUUGUCUGAGGGUAAAAAAGCGGACGUGUCCGUUCUUGCAAGUAUCAGACGAAUAAGCAUCGGCUAACUCCGUGCCAGCAGCCGCAGUAAGAC
rnacentral:rRNA from 1 species